rnacentral:rRNA from 1 species
GGGGAGACGAACGCGGCGGCAGGCCUCACAAUUGCAAGCUCGAACGAGAAGUCACCUUCGGGUGGAUGGACAGUGGCAGACGGGUGAGUAACGCGUGGGAAUUUACCCAAUGGUACGGAAUAACUCAGGGAAACUUGUGCUAAUACCGUAUAAGCCCUCCGGGGGAAAGAUAUCGCCAUUGGAUGAGCCCGCGUUAGAUUAGCUUGUUGGUGAGGUAAAAGCUCACCAAGGCGACGAUCUAUAGCUGGUCUGAGAGGAUGAUCAGCCACACUGGGGCUGAGACACGGCCCAGACUCCUACGGGAGGCAGCAGUGGGGAAUAUUGCACAAUGGGCGCAAGCCUGAUGCAGCCAUGCCGCGUGAGUGAUGAAGGCCCUAGGGUUGUAAAGCUCUUUCAUCGGUGAAGAUAAUGACGGUAGCCGAAGAAGAAGCCCCGGCUAACUCCGUGCCAGCAGCCGCGGUAAUACGGAGGGGGCUAGCGUUGUUCGGAAUUACUGGGCGUAAAGCGCGCGUAGGCGGAUUGAUCAGUUGGGGGUGAAAGCCCGAGGCUCAAACUCGGAACUGGCCUCAAUACUGUCAGUCUAAAGUCCGAGAAAGGUGAGUGGAAUUCCUAGUGUAGAGGUGAAAUUCGUCGAUAUUAGGAAGAACACAAGUGGCGAAGGCGGUCCAUUGCUACGUACUGACGCUAAAGUGCAAACCGC